GCGACCCCAGGUCAGGCGGGAUUACCCG
rnacentral:rRNA from 10 species